GUCAGCUGCCAGGGGCAGCUUCUUCAACAUAGUAGACCCUUUCCUCCAUGUGGACUACUGAGGCCUCCAGACAGCAGCAUGCCUGCAUGGGAAACAAGGACAGUGCCAGAAAGCCCAAUUCACUCACACCACCACGAAUCCUUGAGUCCAUGAAUCGACACAAGUGAAAUGUGGAAGAGCUGGAAUUGGUCUCAGAGAAAAACGUUGAUCAACCUAGGUUAGAGAAGGUAAAAUCCAAAGAAGAGAACGCAUCAGGACAAAAAAAUAAAAGCUGUAGUAUAAGUUCCAGAAAAACAAAAAUAGGUGUAAUGCAAUUCCAAGAUAACUGACAUCUGCAGAAGUCUCACAUUAGGUAUGUGUUUAGAUUCUCUCCCUCCCAUGCAUAUACAUUCCCUCCCAUGCAU
rnacentral:lncRNA from 1 species